CUGUAUUCUUCCACAGCUUUCUUGAACUGCAAAAUUUCUUCAGAUUUGUUUUAUAUCUAUUGCGCGUAUAAAAAAUAGUGAUUUUUUUUUUCACAUCUCCUGGAUCAAUUGAUUUGCGGUUCAAUAAAGCUGUGGGAAGAUACAG
rnacentral:pre_miRNA from 1 species